CAAUAGCGUAUAUUAAAGUUGUUGCGGUUAAAAAGCUCGUAGUUGGAUUUCUGCUGAGAACGACCGGUCCGCCCUUUGGGUGUGUAUCUGGCUCUUUCUUGGCAUCUUCUUGGUGAACGUUGCUGCACUUGACUGUGUGGAGCGCUACCCAGGACUUUUACUUUGAGGAAAUUAGAGUGUUUCAAGCAGGCAUACGCCUUGAAUACAUUAGCACGGAAUAAUAAGAUAGGACCUCGGUUCUAUUUUGUUGGUUUCUAGAGCUGAGGUAAUGAUUAAUAGGGAUAGUUGGGGGCAUUCGUAUUUAACUGUCAGAGGUGAAAUUCUUGGAUUUGUUAAAGACGGACUACUGCGAANGNAUUUGCNAAGGAUGUUUNCAUUG
rnacentral:rRNA from 1 species